GCCGUAGCUCAGUGGUAGAGAUUCUGCCUUAUAUGCAGAAGGUCCCGGGUUCAGUCCCCAGCAUCUCCA